GAAGAGGUAAAUCGGUCUCGAAAACCGGAGUGGGGGUAACUCCACCGUGGGUUCAAAUCCCACCCUCUCCGCCA
rnacentral:tRNA from 1 species